rnacentral:rRNA from 1 species
UACGAAGGGGGCUAGCGUUGUUCGGAAUUACUGGGCGUAAAGCGCGCGCAGGCGGUCCUUUAAGUCAGGGGUGAAAGCCCAGAGCUCAACUCUGGAACUGCCUUUGAAACUAGAGGACUUGGGUACGGGAGAGGUGAGUGGAAUUCCGAGUGUAGAGGUGAAAUUCGUAGAUAUUCGGAAGAACACCAGUGGCGAAGGCGGCUCACUGGCCCGGUACUGACGCUGAGGUGCGAAAGCGUGGGGAGCAAACAGG